rnacentral:rRNA from 1 species
AGAUUGAAUGCUGGCGGAAUGCUUUACACAUGCAAGUCGAACGGCAGCACGGGGGCAACCCUGGUGGCGAGUGGCGCACGGGUGAGUAAUACAUCGGAACGUGUCCUAGAGUGGGGGAUAGCCCGGCGAAAGCCGGAUUAAUACCGCAUACGCUCGAAAGAGGAAAGUGGGGGAUCGUAAGACCUCACGCCCAAGGAGCGGCCGAUGCCGGAUUAGCUUGUUGGUGAGGUAAAAGCUCACCAAGGCGACGAUCCGUAGCUGGUCUGAGAGGACGACCAGCCACACUGGGACUGAGACACGGCCCAGACUCCUACGGGAGGCAGCAGUGGGGUAAUUUGGACAAGUAGGGGGAAACCCUGAUCCAGCCAUUCCGCGUGAGAGAAGAGC